rnacentral:rRNA from 1 species
GAUGAACGCUGGCGGCGUGCCUAAUACAUGCAAGUCGAGCGAACGGACGAGAAGCUUGCUUCUCUGAUGUUAGCGGCGGACGGGUGAGUAACACGUGGAUAACCUACCUAUAAGACUGGGAUAACUUCGGGAAACCGGAGCUAAUACCGGAUGAUAUUUUGAACCGCAUGGUUCAAAAGUGAAAGACGGUCUUGCUGUCACUUAUAGAUGGAUCCGCGCUGCAUUAGCUAGUUGGUAAGGUAACGGCUUACCAAGGCAACGAUGCAUAGCCGACCUGAGAGGGGGAUCGGCCACACUGGAACUGAGACACGGUCCAGACUCCUACGGGAGGCAGCAGUAGGGCAUCUUCCGCAAUGGGCGAAAGCCUGACGGAGCAACGCCGCGGGAGUGAUGAAGGUCUUCGGAUCGUAAAAAGCUGUUAUUAGGGAAGAACAUAUGUGUAAGUAACUGUGCACAUCUUGACGGUACCUAAUCAGAAAGCCACGGCUAACUACGU